rnacentral:tRNA from 1 species
UCCUGUGUAGCUGAGUCGGUAAAGCAUCUGCCUGCAAUACAGAAGACCUGGGUUCAGUUCCUGGGUUGGAA